GCUCCGUAGGUGAACCUGCGGAGGGAUCAUUACAAGUGACCCCGGUCUUACCACCGGGAUGUCCAUAUCCCUUUGUUGUCCGACUCUGUUGCCUCCGGGGCGACCCUGCCUUCGGGCGGGGGCUCCGGGUGGGCACUUCAAACUCUUGCGUAACUUUGCAGUCUGAGUAAACUUAAUUAAUAAAUUAAAACUUUUAACAACGGAUCUCUUGGUUCUGACAUCGAUGAAGAACGCAGC
rnacentral:misc_RNA from 1 species